ensembl:lncRNA
CCCUAACUUCAUGCUGAAGCUCGUGAAUGUUGGAACAAGAGGCAGGAAUGGGUACUGGAAUGAUUCACAAGUGAUAAAGAUCCUGAAAGAAGGAGGCUGGAGGAAAGGAUGAGUAACAGAAAUAGCUUGCUUGUUUCCUCUUCAGAAAAGCAAGAGGAGCGAGGGAUGCUGAAACGAGAACAUACUUCUUUUUUCCCCUGUGGCUACUAGGAAGUUGACAGGAAAAGAAAGGCCUGCUCUUGUUCAGCAGCUAGAAAUGGGAGCUUCACCCUGAGCAGGUACUCACUGGCUAUAAAACGAACCAAGGAACUGUAUCUACAAGCACGGUCCCGCAGCCAUUUCCUUUCAGAAAGUCCCCAGAGCUGGUAGGAGCAAGGGACUGAGCUUCUCAGGAGGACGGUAAUAGUUUAUGACAGAAGUUGUCUUGCCUUCUGCAGGGUGAAGUGGUGAAUAUCGGCCUGUGCCGUGAGGGUCACCAGCCGACUGACUGAGCGUCUUAUCGUUAGAUGCAACACCCUGUGCCAAGGAGACUGGUGUUGCCACAGGGUUUAAAUAGCUGAGCUAAUAUUUAAACGUCUGUCCCCUCUGAUCUCUGCAAAAUGAGGAGAAGAGACUUUGUGACUGCACACAGACAGCUGCACAGUGCCCAGAGCACUCUGCAGGCCUCAGCGAACCUCCUCGCCUCACAGGUAGCGGUGCAACC